GUGUCAGCAGCCGCGGUAAGACAGAGGUGCCAAGCGUUAGGCGGAAUCACUGGGCUUAAAGCGUGUGUAGGCGGACCGUUAAGUGCUUUGUGAAAUCCCCCGGCUCAACCGGGGAAUGGCUUGGCAUACUGGCGGUCUUGAGCUGCCUAGGGGUCGCUGGAACAAACGGUGGAGCGGUGAAAUGCGUAGAUAUCGUUUGGAACGCCAAAGGUGAAAACAGGCGACUGGGGGCAAGCUGACGCUGAGACACGAAAGCCAGGGGAGCAAACGGGAUUAGAAACCCCCGUAGUCC
rnacentral:rRNA from 1 species